rnacentral:rRNA from 1 species
AUUGAACGCUGGCGGCAGGCCUAACACAUGCAAGUCGAGCGGAUGAAGGGAGCUUGCUCCUGGAUUCAGCGGCGGACGGGUGAGUAAUGCCUAGGAAUCUGCCUGGUAGUGGGGGAUAACGUCCGGAAACGGGCGCUAAUACCGCAUACGUCCUGAGGGAGAAAGUGGGGGAUCUUCGGACCUCACGCUAUCAGAUGAGCCUAGGUCGGAUUAGCUAGUUGGUGGGGUAAAGGCCUACCAAGGCGACGAUCCGUAACUGGUCUGAGAGGAUGACCAGUCACACUGGAACUGAGACACGGUCCAGACUCCUACGGGAGGCAGCAGUGGGGAAUAUUGGACAAUGGGCGAAAGCCUGAUCCAGCCAUGCCGCGUGUGUGAAGAAGGUCUUCGGAUUGUAAAGCACUUUAAGUUGGGAGGAAGGGCAGUAAGUUAAUACCUUGCCGUUUUGACGUUACCAACAGAAUAAGCACCGGCUAACUUCGUG